GGCCUUUGAUGUGCAAAAAUAUUUGCUACUCUUGAGCGUGACAAUGACGACGCUAAAAUCACCAAGAUCUCUGAGGCC
rnacentral:snoRNA from 1 species